UUAAAUGGCCGCGGUAUUUUGACCGUGCUAAGGUAGCAUAAUCAUUAGUUUUUUAAUUGAAAGCUAGAAUGAAGGGUUUGAUGAAAAAUUAACUGUCUCUAUUUUAAUUAUUUAGAAUUUUAUUUUUAAGUUAAAAAGCUUAAAUUUAUUUAUAAGACGAGAAGACCCUAUAGAGUUUUAUAAAAUAUUUGUAUUUUAAUUUUAGAAUUUAAUUUAAAAUAUUAUGUUUUAUUUGAUUGGGGUGAUUGAAAAAUUUAAUUAACUUUUUUUUUAUUUUUAUAUUUAUUAAUAGAUUAUUGAUCCAAUAUAAUUGAUUAUAAGAUUAAAUUACCUUAGGGAUAACAGCGUAAUUUUAUUGGAGAGUU
rnacentral:rRNA from 1 species